UCAAAAGCUGUGACCGGGAAGAGUACAUGAAACCCUUUAUUUCAGGAAGUUUGCACCGAGACUGUGAGUGCAAAUAAUAAAGAUUCAUCGAAGUUCACCCCGUUAGCUGCCAUCAGGACCAGCAAUUGCUGUAAAGGUGCGCCGGUGAAGAGCCGUUAAUUCAAUGAAGUGAUUACGUCUGGAUACUCAGCGUAGUAAUCAGGGUGGUACCGCGAAAAUGUUCCUCGUCCCUUUU
rnacentral:ncRNA from 1 species